rnacentral:rRNA from 1 species
GUUCCCUGGUUGAUCCUGCCAGUAGUCAUAUGCUUGUCUCAAAGAUUAAGCCAUGCAUGUCUCAGUACGAGCCGCUUUAGGGCGAAACCGCGAAUGGCUCAUUAAAUCAGUUAUGGUUCCUUGGACGAUGCACGGUUACUUGGAUAACUGUGGCAAUUCUAGAGCUAAUACAUGCGAAAGUGUCCCGACCGGCCAACGGGAGGGACGCGCUUAUUAGACCAAAACCAAUCGGUCCGGCGGACCGGGCUUAGCCCCGGCCGUCGCCGCUUGCAAUCUUGGUGACUCUGAAUAAACGGUUGAGCGGAUCGCACGGCCUCUGCGCCGGCGACGUGUCUUUCAAAUGUCUGCCUUAUCAACUGUCGACGGUAGGUUCUGCGCCUACCAUGGUCGUAACGGGUGACGGGGAAUCAGGGUUCGAUUCCGGAGAGGGAGCCUGAGAAACGGCUACCACAUCCAAGGAAGGCAGCAGGCGCGCAAAUUACCCACUCCCGGCACGGGGAGGUAGUGACGAAAAAUAACGAUACGGGACUCAUCCGAGGCCCCGUAAUCGGAAUGAGAACACUUUAAAUCCUUUAACGAGUAUCCAUUGGAGGGCAAGUCUGGUGCCAGCAGCUGCGGUAAUUCCAGCUCCAAUAGCGUAUAUUAAAGUUGUUGCGGUUAAAAAGCUCGUAGUCGGACCUGUGUCCCGCUGUGCCGGUUCACCGCCCGUCGGUGUCCAACUGGCAUGCACGCGCGGACGUCCUGACGGUGGCUGCGGUUCGACCCCUUUCUUUCCCCUCGGCGUUUCGGCCUCGGAGGUCGGGCCGGCGUUUCAUCGCGCCGGUCGCUCCGAGCCGCGUCGUCCGGGAAGGAUCGCUGGGAAGGCCCGGCCUGGACUGGUCCAACCUCUCGAGGUGCUCUUGACCGAGUGUCUCGGGUGGCCGUCACGUUUACUUUGAACAAAUUAGAGUGCUCAAAGCAGGCAUCAAAGUUCGCCUGGAUAUCAGUGCAUGGAAUAAUGGAAGAGGACCUCGGUUCUAUUUUGUUGGUUUUCGGAAUGCCCGAGGUAAUGAUCAAUAGGGACAGCCGGGGGCAUUCGUAUUGCGACGUUAGAGGUGAAAUUCUUGGAUCGUCGCAAGACGGACGGAAGCGAAAGCAUUUGCCAAGCAUGUUUUCACUGAUCAAGAACGAAAGUCAGAGGUUCGAAGGCGAUCAGAUACCGCCCUAGUUCUGACCAUAAACGAUGCCAGCCAGCAAUCCGCCGAAGUUCCUCCGAUGACUCGGCGGGCGGCUUCCGGGAAACCAAAGCUUUCGGGUUCCGGGGGAAGUAUGGUUGCAAAGCUGAAACUUAAAGGAAUUGACGGAAGGGCACCACCAGGAGUGGAGCCUGCGGCUUAAUUUGACUCAACACGGGAAAACUCACCAAGCCCUGACACCGGAAGGAUUGACAGAUUGAGAGCUCUUUCUUGAUUCGGUGGGUGGUGGUGCAUGGCCGUUCUUAGUUCGUGGGGCGACUUGUCUGGUUAAUUCCGUUAACGAACGAGACUCCAACCUGCUUACUAGUCGGGUUUUUACCGGCAUCCUUCGCGCUGCCGGCGAGUAUGAAAUCUUCUUAGAGGGACAAGCGGCGUAGAGCCGCGCCAAGAGGAGCAAUAACAGGUCUGUGAUGCCCUUAGAUGUCUUGGGCCGCACGCGCGCUACACUGAAGGAAUCAGCGUGUGCUCCUCGGCCGAGAGGUCCGGGUAACCCGCUGAAACUCCUUCGUGAUUGGGAUUGGGGCUUGCAAUUGUUCCCCAUGAACGAGGAAUUCCCAGUAAGCGCGAGUCAUAAGCUCGCGCUGAUUAAGUCCCUGCCCUUUGUACACACCGCCCGUCGCUACUACCGAUUGAAUGGUUUAGUGAGGCCUUCGGACCUGCGGGACGGGCUCUGCCUCGCGGCUAGUCGCGGUUCCGCCGGAAAGAUGUCCGAACUUGAUCAUUUAGAGGAAGUAAAAGUCGUAACAAGGUUGCCGUAGGUGAACCUGCGGCAGGACCAUUA